GCCCUGGUGGUGUAGCUCGGCCCAGCAUAGGAGACUGUCACUCUUCUGACGCGGGUUCGAAUGACUCAUGGUGCAUCCAUGCGUCUGGAUAUCCCGCCCAGGGCG
rnacentral:tRNA from 1 species